rnacentral:rRNA from 1 species
UACGGGGGGAGCAAGCGUUGUUCGGAUUUACUGGGCGUAAAGGGCGCGUAGGCGGCCACUGCAGGUCGGUUGGGAAAUCUCCGGGCUUAACCCGGAAAGGUCAAUCGAUACUGCAGGGCUAGAGUGCGGAAGGGGCAACUGGAAUUCUCGGUGUAGCGGUGAAAUGCGUAGAUAUCGAGAGGAACACCUGCGGCGAAGGCGGGUUGCUGGGCCGACACUGACGCUGACAGCGCGAAAGCUAGGGGAGCGAACGGG